AUACCAGCACCCCGAGUGGUCGGGACGUUUAUUGGGCCUAAAGCAUCCGUAGCCGGUUCUACAAGUCUUCCGUUAAAUCCACCUGCUUAACAGAUGGGCUGCGGAAGAUACUAUGGAGCUAGGAGGCGGGAGAGGCAAGCGGUGCUCAGUGGGUAGGGGUAAAAUCCUCUGAUCCACUGAAGACCACCAGUGGCGAAGGCGGCUUGCCAGAACGCGCUCGACGGUGAGGGAUGAAAGCUGGGGGAGCAAACCGGAUUAGAUACCCGGGUAGUCCCAGCUGUAAACGAUGCAGACUCGGUGAUGGGUUGGCUUCGAGCCAACCCAGUGCCGCAGGGAAGCCGUUAAGUCUGCCGCCUGGGGAGUACGGUCGCAAGACUGAAACUUAAAUGAAUUGGCGGGG
rnacentral:rRNA from 1 species